AAAAUGCAUAUAAUUAUUGCUGCGGUUAAAAAGCUCGUAGUUGGAUCUGUGCUGGCCUCCCGGUCCACUUUCGGGUGCGCACUGGUGAGGUUGGCUUUCCUGCCCGUUUUUCGGUCAGUGCCUUUAACCGGGUGCUGUUCGAGUCGGGCAAGUUUACUUUGAACAAAUCAGAGUGCUCAAAACAGGCGUUUCGCUUGAAUGUUCGUGCAUGGAAUAAUAGAAGAGGAUUUCGGUUCUAUUUUAUUGGUUUUAUAGACUGAGAUAAUGGUUAACAGAGACAAACGGGGGCAUUCGUAUUGCUACGUGAGAGGUGAAAGUCUUGGACCGUAGCAAGACGAACUACAG
rnacentral:rRNA from 1 species